CUGGGCUUGACAUGCAUCUCUAAGCGCGUGAAAGCGCGUGACCCUUCGGGGGAUUUGCACAGGUGCUGCAUGGCCGUCGUCAGCUCGUGUCGUGAGAUGUUGGGUUAAGUCCCGCAACGAGCGCAACCCCUGUGAUUAGUUGCCAGCACGUGAUGGUGGGGACUCUAAUCAGACCGCCCAGAUCAACUGGGAGGAAGGUGGGGACGACGUCAGGUCAGUAUGGCCCUUACGCCCAGGGCUGCACACGUACUACAAUGCCCAGCACAGUGAGAACCGAUGCCGCGAGGCGGAGGAAAUCUGCAAAACUGGGCCCAGUUCGGAUUGGAGGCUGCAACUCGCCUCCAUGAAGCCGGAAUCGCUAGUAAUGGCACAUCAGCAACGGUGCCGUGAAUACGUUCCC
rnacentral:rRNA from 1 species